GGGAGGGGGGAGUAGCAAAAGUGAAAACAAUUUGAAAUAGAUUUCAGUUUUCAGUUUUUGUUUUCACUUUUGUUACUCAUCCCUACCAUCCUCCUCUC
rnacentral:miRNA from 1 species